AACCAUUGCUAUUGAGAAUGAACUGUUGUAAUAGAUAUGUUUAUAGCAAUGCUUUUUAAAACAGUUGCUAUAGAAGCAUAUAUGGCAACAAUUAAUGGAAAAAAUUAUCUAUUGCAUAGCUUUCUAAUUUCCCUCCACAAUAUUUCACAGUCCGUCCAAAAGCUAUUUCUCAAGAGAAAAUAUCAAAAUUCCUCGUUCUUUCUAAAAAAAAAAAUGUAACUCGGACCUGUAUCUCCAAUUUCUCAAUCAUAACUCGUAUUGUAACUCCAUUUCUCCAUUUACUGGGUAGUAGCUCCGGUUGUUGGGUAGGCUUGCUGUAAUGCUCAAUUUCUCAAUCGUAAUUCAAUUUGUCAAUCAUAACUUCGACCGUAAAAAGUAGAUCGAAAACCCAUUUCUCCUUGAAUGGGUAGGCUUGUUGUAAUUUCAUUGUUGCUAUUCGAUUGCUGUAAUUUUCAUUGUUGUUGUUGGCCCGUGGAAAGGAGACGUAAAAGCUACUAUCGGAGCCCCGGUGAGUCGGCUUUUAGUAUUUUUAAGCAUUGAUGUUCAUUAUUUGGGGAUUUUAAGGUAUUCCUUUAAUUGACGAUUUAACUAUAUUUUAGAUUUUGUAAACCUGCAAUAGUUUACCUAUAUUUUAGCAUCUAUAAACCCAUAAUGGCGUACCUAUAUUGGUCUGGCUAAGAUGAGUAGUCCUUUAAAAGCUUAAAAAUCAAGUCUUUAGGUAAUGUGGUAAUUUGUGUUUCACUUUGAUGGUAUCUACUGGCUAUCUGCACUAUUUGUGUUUGGAAUUUUCUGAGUUGUUGUUAACCCGAUUGGUUGUUGUAAUGAAAUAUUACUCUUUCUGUUUGUUUUAUUUUUUAUGAUGUUGUUAAUAGUUGAGAAGUCAAAAUUCAUAUGAAAGAUGGAUGCUUGCCUUGGUAUUCUACGCAGAAAGAUUGUGCAUAACCUUAGUAUUUUUAUCCAAAUGAUAAAACUGAUGCUCCGUUCAUAAUUAGUUAAUCGUAAUAGGGAUACAAACUUCAUUCUUUCAGAAUAAAGAAACAAAACAUUAUUCUUUCCACGAUAUUUAUCAAGACAUUAUGUUAUACUUAAUAUUUCGAAAAAAAUUAAGUAUAUGGAUGAUGACUUAUACUACGUUCAGAAUGUUUAACUUCUUUGAAUGAGGCUGGAGUUAUCAAAGGCUCAUCUGAGACACGCUUAAGCCUAGAGGCUCAGGAUAUGUGCUUUGCCUCACUUCGGGUGCAUUUAAGUGUAGGUAAGGAGCUAGUUGUGCGCCUCAUUGUUCAAAAGUUCAAUCUUGAAUAGAGCUGCACUAAACAACAAUACCUCCUGCACCAGUAAGAACCUCAUCCUCAAGAUUCGAGUUGUAAAGAUUUGCAACAACAACAUCAUUGUCAAAAGCCCAUACCUGAAUAUACAAAGAACUUCCUCACAUACUCUGAAUACAUGAUGGACCUCACGACACUACUUUGGUGUCCACAGAAUCUCCUUAGCAAUGUCCUGCAAAUCUAUAAGAGAGUUGUAGCUUGCUACUGCUAUAACAUUGGCUGCAGUAGCCUCACAGAGAAUUUGUUGAUGCUUGCAUAAUUUUGUCACUCUAGUAUUCCCAUGUGAGAAGGAAAAAUACUUGAUUCUACUUGCUGUGUUCCCUUACUGCCAGGUCAUAAACAUCGUCAAAAAAUGCGCUUAGAGGUAUACUAUAUAGGAAAGUGAAGUAAUAUUUGUAAGCUCAGAAAUAUUUUCUGCACCAAACUUGGGAAUAACAACUCAAUGGAAUGAUGAAAAAGCAAGUUGAACUCUUGCAUACAAUAAAACAUUGUAUUGCAAGGUACAAAGUGAUCAAAAUGUAUGUUGACCAACUAUUUUGUUUGUUCCUUAUGUGCUUCAAGAUCAGUUAUUGUGUGGGUACUUGAGAAAUUCCUGAAGCACCAAAGAUAGAGUCUUUGGUGAGAUGGUAAUCUGGGUUUCACUUCGAUGAAACAAAUACUAACCUGAACAUCCAGGGCCAAUGCUUGAAAAUCCUCAAAGUAGUUACACAACUUGGAUUGAGUCUGGCCCAAUAGUUCAGGCAUCUCACACAUCGAGUCCAAGCUCAGUUGACCGGAAAGAACAGGCACUCUCUUCUGAACUUCACAGUGAUGACUCUAAAGGUAGUUUUCUCUUUGAUGCUUCCCUUUCUUCAUAAAGUUUGGGCAAGGAAACUUGUACAGUGUAAUAGCACUUCAUAAGUUGUUCUUAUAUAAUACAGACUAAAGACCUUGUUUUGUCUUGUCUGGACUUGUGGAGUUCUCGAGGGACAACUUUCAGCUUAAUUCACAAGUUAGCUCAUUCAUGUCCACUGAAUUCCAUAACUCAGGCAGAAAUUUAAAUGUUAUGCUAAGCAAAAGUUCUACUCGGGAAACCUUAAUGUGGCUGAGUUGUUGUUAUGUAACCUCACAUAUGCAAGAUUGGAUGCUGGUAAAGUUGUUCAAGAUGUCACAAACAGCAGAAAUAGAUUGACUAGUACUUCUGAGAAGUAUUUGAGGUACUAUAUUUUAUGCUAUAGUUGUAUUCAUGUAGACGUUGGUGUCUCUAAUUUUUUCCUUUCAAGGAGAGGGGAAACUGCAAUAUUGAAAUCAUUAAAGACAAUUGUGAUAUUGGAAAUCAGUAAGUUCUUUGUACAUAACUUCAAGAUGAACGUGCUUAGUGCAGCUAAGUGUCUACUCUGUGUAUACAACGUAGUAGAGAAAUUCUCAGUAUUUUGUUAUUGGUUUCAUCUGUAGGACUAACAUGCUCCAAGCACAUUUUCAAUUUUUUUUCAUUUGCCGUAGGCUAGUUCUAAACUUCUGAUAGCAUACCAAAAGAAGGUACAAGAUUUUUAUGAAGUAGAUAUAUUAAGAAGCAUUUAACUUAAUGGUUGGAAUAUCUUGAUUUAAUUAGAAUCAGUCUUCUGAAAUUAUGAUGCAUUGCAAUGCCUCCAGUUCUUGAGCAUCUGUAUUGUUUAGCGUCAGUAAUGCAAAUUUUCACGUUCAAAUGUGAACUCACUUUCAAAUGUGGCUUUGGAAAUUUUCUUGCUCCAUUUCUACCUUCUUUUUUUGGUUUUCUAAAAGUAAUUGCUAUUAACCUAGUACGGCCACAUUCAGACCCACAUAUCUUCUAUUAUUUGUCCAUAGGCUUGAACAGUGAUAUUCUAAAAUAGUGGCAUGCUUUUGGUUAUUAGAAUAUUGGUAUGCUAUGUAGUUAUUAUAAGCAUUCCAUUUAACCUGGUCAAGUUCAACUGGUGUGUACUCAGUACUUAUGAUCAUUCAAUAUGUAUCAACUCCAACUGUUAUCCUCUAUUACCACUAUUCUCUACUAACAAACUGAUAUUUCUUUCAAUGGUCGGUGUUGCUACCAGUUGUCUUGACCCUUGUAGCAAGCAAGGACAGUGCGUUCACGGCUAUAAUAGGAGAUUAUAUCUAUUCGAAGUGAGACUUGGAAGCAUUUAUAAUUGCAAAUGCUAAAAGGAAAACCUCAAUUUGAUUACUCAAGCAUUGGAAGCAGUAGGAUGUAGACUAGAAGUUAUACCUGACCCAACAACUGUACAUUUCCACCUGCCAAAUGACCUUUCUAUCCGUAUACACAGAGAAUAUAACGACUUCAUUGAAGAGCUCAUGAGUAAAUUACCACAUGAAAAAGAAGGUAUUAUCAAAUUUUAUAGCGAACGCUGGAAGGUUCCUUUGCCCUUAAAAUAUAUUAGGUGAAGCAAACUUCUUAGGUGGUGUUGCUUCUGCUAAGGGUGUUGAAGGAUUUGAUACCCGAGCCGCAAUCUUAGGUGAAGCAGUCCUCCCCUUAUGAGAAAUCUUUUGUGGUUGAGUUACGUUCAAGGUCCGCUUCUUCACGGUAUAUAUGCAAAAAUACGCAUUAUGUGUUGGUUGAUGAUGUAGUUUGCAAGGACAUAGUACUUUAUUGAGGUUAUACAAGCAAAAAUGUACUAUUUUGAUGAAAAUCACAGGUUUGAUUCGAUUGUAUCUGCUGAUGCUUUCAAAAAUUUGAAGCGUUGAUAUUUUCUUGGCUGUAUCACGGAUUCUUGAUGUUCCCAUUAGCGAGGUAGUUUCCAAAAUGUGCAAUGCUGCUUUGCUACCAGCCAUCACAGUUUUUUCUUGUUAGAUACCUAGCUGUGAGUAGAAUGUGAUGCUAAUCUAAUGAGGAACUUCUAGCAGACUAAGAUAUCACCGAGGUUUACAUUCAAAUUCCAUUUCAAGUGAGAUUUACCUCACUGGUGUCUCUAGGAGCCGUAGUAUGUAGUUUACCAACAUGUUAAGAAAUGUCGUUUUUGUGUACCAUUGACAAAUGUAGAAUACUGAAGCUCUUUUGUGUUUGUGAAAAACUUGCGACUAAGCUCUUUUUUGUAA